UUGGGUAUUAGCAGUGUAAGAUUGGAGGGAGUUAGUGCGGGAUGCAGCGGGUAUUAGUGGUUAUAAGAAGUCUAUUUUCUAUCUCCUUCUCUCUGUUGGCUUCGCUGCAAAUGCGCGCCUUGAGAUAAGAGAAAAGGUAUUUGGUUUCCUCAUGUGUGUUCGAUUGAAAACAUCAGCGGUUCCUUGUCCUGACCAGCGGAACACCACUACCUACUCACUGGAGUCUCUUGUUGUUGUUGUUGGUGGUGGUGUUCGUGGUGUUGUUGUUGUGGUUCCUUAUGUUUGUUGUGGUUAAACAGAACGGCUACUGCUACUACUACUACUACUGCUACAACCACCACAACUACUACUACUACUAUUACUAGUUGUGGUGAGAAUUUAAGUGUGUUGAAUAUUUUGAAAGUAAAUGAUUAAAAGUGAUUGAAAAGGAAGAAAACACUACUACUACUACUACUACUACUACUACUACUACUACUACUACUACCACCACCACCACUACUACUUCUGUGCCCACUGUUCCUGCUGCUCCUACUCCUGGUGUUGCUGGUUAAACAGGUGAUAAUGGCGGCGUCCUUCACCCCAGUGACCUCCACCGCCGCCUCCUGUUGGUGAGGGGGCGGUCUCCCCUUCACCCCCACCCCCCCGCCACCCUCCUCCUAGUCUUCCUUUCCCAACUCGUAAAAAUUCUCUCUCCAAUCAUUUAUUCCUCCUCCCUCAUCUCUCCUCCUCCUCCUCCUCCUCCUCCGCCUUCUCUUCCUCCUCCUCCUCUUCCUCUUCUAAGUGGGGAGUCGUUUGGAGAAGAUUAAUUCAAGGAAGAGAUUACUGCAAAUCGUCACCACCACCACCACCAACAACAACAACAACAACAACAACAACAACAACAGGAAGGAGUCCCCUCUGGCCAGCCCCCCGCCGUACCCCCCGCCCCCCGAAGGCAAGGUGGAAUAAAGUG